CACGAGUGCCGGAGGAAUGCUGCUGGAAUUCUUCCAGGUGAAAAAGGCCAGGGCAAAGAUUCAGUUUAAUCUCUGUGUGUCUGCACUGCCCGAGCAGGACAACCUUGGGCCACAGGCGGUUCUUGCAGGAAAAUACUCAUUGGAGUGCGAAUGACAAAAUCUCAAGUACCAAAUAUAACCCGUGCAUCUCCACGGAGAUGGGAACAGUGAAUAAGGGCAGAGAUCCCCCUUGCAGCAGUGGCAGCUCCUGUGACUUAGGACACUGCACCUGGCUAUCUCUCCAUUUCUCUUCAGCAGCAACUGCUAGAAAGGAAUUAACUCAUAAUAUGUUUGAAUGAAAACCAAAUAAAAUUUA